CGGAAAUUCCGCCAGAUGUCUUUCAUUUCGGGCGGAUGUCUGUUACCUUCCGCUUUCUUUGUGUUGGCAUUUUAAACCCCAGUCGAUUUAUGAGACUAUGGUUAAAUGCUCCUCAGAUUUCUGCAGGGUAAAUCCAGACAGCUAGCUAGACUAUCUGUCCAAUUUGAGUUUUCUGUUGCACGA